rnacentral:snRNA from 1 species
GAUAGUUACCUGGCAGAGGCGAUACCAUGACCAAGUAGGUGGUUUUCCGAAGGUGAGGCUCAUCUGUGGCACUCAGGGCGUGCUGCCUCCUUUGAUUUUCCCCAUGUGGGGCAAACUUCGUGUAGUUUGUGGUCGUAAGGGACUGUGUUCUCACUUUA